rnacentral:rRNA from 1 species
GAUGAACGCUGGCGGCGUGCCUAAUACAUGCAAGUCGAGCGAACAGACGAGGAGCUUGCUCCUCUGACGUUAACGGCGGACGGGUGAGUAACACGUGGAUAACCUACCUAUAAGACUGGGAUAACUUCGGGAAACCGGAGCUAAUACCGGAUAAUAUAUUGAACCGCAUGGUUCAAUAGUGAAAGACGGUUUUGAUGUCCCUUAUAGCUGGAUCCGCGCGGCAUUGGCUAGUUGGUAAGGUAACGGCUUACCAAGGCAACGAUGCGUAGCCGACCUGAGAGGGUGAUCGGCCACACUGGAACUGAGACACGGUCCAGACUCCUACGGGAGGCAGCAGUAGGGAAUCUUGCGCAAUGGGCGAAAGCCUGACGGAGCAACGCCGCGUGAGUGAUGAAGGUCUGCGGAUCGUAAAACUCUGUUAUUAGUGAAGAACAAAUGUGUAAGUAACUAUGCACGUCUUGACGGUACCUAAUCAGAAAGCCACGGCUAACUACGUG